GACGAACGCUGGCGGCGUGCUUAACACAUGCAAGUCGAACGGAAAGGCCCUGCUUUUGUGGGGUGCUCGAGUGGCGAACGGGUGAGUAACCCGUGAGUAACCUGCCCCUGACUUUGGGAUAACUUCAGGAAACUGGGGCUAAUACCGGCUAGGAGCUCCUGCUGCAUGGUGGGGGUUGGAAAGUUUCGGCGGUUGGGGAUGGACUGGCGUCUUAUGAGCUUGUUGGUGGGGUAGUGGCUUACCAAGGCCUUGACGGGUAGCCGGCCUGAGAGGGUGACCGGCCACAUUGGGAUUGAGAUACGGCCCAGACUCCAACGGGAGGCAGCAGUGGGGAAUAGUGCACAAUGGGCGGAAGCCUGAUGCAGCAACGCCGCGUGCGGGAUGACGGCCUUCGGGUUGUAAACCGCUUUCGCCUGUGACGAAGCGUGAGUGACGGUAAUGGGUAAAGAAGCACCGGCUAACUACGUG
rnacentral:rRNA from 1 species